CUGACACUAAAGAAAGUGUCAGACACAGUAGAGCUGAUAAGGUGUUUGUUAGCACAGCAGAUGCUUUGAAAAAAGCUAGCCAAGAUGGCUACAGGUGCAUGCAGGCUAGAACAAGCAGCUAGCAGAAAGAAAUAAGGAUGACAGUCCAAGUACAUACACAGCAGAGACAGAACUUCGCGUGUGAGCUUUCCUAAAGACCUCACGUGACCGACUGAAGACCUCUGAAGACCUCACGUGACCGACAAACACCGGAAAUAGCGGAACUUCAAUACUAGGCAGGGGAAAGAGUUUACAGAGGGACAGGAAAUACGGAGCAUGGGGAAAGUGGCGCACAUAUGAGAAAAUCAGGACAACAGGAUAUGAACACCAGCGAGGAUGUGCCUAGUCUUACAAAUGGAAGGAAGUUGAAAAAAAACUUACUAUCUGGAUUCCUUCUGCGCCUGUAUUUUACUCCUGUGAAAUUAGAGAGAAUUAGGGUUAUUGCCCCGGAGGCCAGCUUUAGAUGCUCUGCCAAGGCAGGUAUACAGUCAUGGCCGUAAAUGUUGGCACCCCUGAAAUUUUUCAAGAAUAUUUAGUAUUUCUUACAGAAAAGGAUUGCAGUAACACAUGAUUUGCUAUACACAUGUUUAUUCCCUUGUGUGUAUUGGAACUAAACCAAAAAAGAAGGAAAAAAAGCAAAUUGGGCAUAAUGUCACACCAAACUCCAGAAAUGGGCUAGACAAAAUUAUUGUCACCCUUUCAAAAUUGUGGAAAAAUAAGAUUGUUUCAAGCUUGUGAUGCUCCUUUAAACUCACCUGGGGCAAGUAACAGGUGUGGGGAAUAUAAAAAAAAUCACACCUGAAAGCAGAUAAAAAGGAGAGAAGUUCACUUAGUCUUUGCAUUGUGUGUGUGUGUGCCACACUAAGCAUGGACAACAGAAAGAGGAGAAGAGAACUGUCUGAGGACUUGAGAACCAAAAUUGUGGAAGAAU